GCGGAGCAGACAUAAGCCGCCGUCUGAUGUGAGAAGGCGCUGUGAAAUGCCUUUUUCUGUUCUUCCUACGCGAGGAGGACACUAACCGAUUGUACUUCAUCUUCGUAGAUCCUGCAAUGCAGAUUUAUUAUCGUGAGAAUCUCGAUUUUCACUGAGAUAUGAACUCGGUAUAUCAAUCGACGAGGGUAUACAGAAUGAAACGUGUGUUAGGAAAUGACAGGUUAUGCAUGAUGCGGACUGCGAUACAAGUCAGAUGCCACGCGAUUAACAUUCUCUUCACUCACCGACGAUGGUUCAAUGCCGCGGCGUUAACCGGAAAGAAAAUACGAGAAACAUUUCACGAAGUGUCUAAUGGCCGCCUUUCAAUGCUUCCAAUGAACCAAUGGAUAUUCGAAGAAGAGAACGCGAAGCGUAAACGAGCUUGAUUCGUUGGAUGUGAGAGAACGGACCAAUCAGUGAUCAUCGCAUGGAUUGAAAAGAUCCUAAAGAUUUUCAUAUAAACAGGAAUCGCUGCAAACGCGUGUGAAGCAUGGUCCAACGAUGUUUUACAACAAUAUUAUGGACUAACCUUGUGGCUUAACACUUUGUACACAGCUUUGAAUCCGAAACUUGUGGAAUCUCUUUUUAACUUUUCAUUAGGAUUUUUCUAUAGGAUCACAUAUAUGUAUAUUAUUCAAGUAAGAGGACUGUAAUAAAAAAAAUUGAUUGUAUAUGCUAUUAAACAAUCAUAGUUAUGGGACCCAUCAAGGAAACCGCUCAUGACACCUUAUUUUGCUAAUUCUAAACCGUAAACACACUUACCCUGUUAUUUCCAUAUUUUUACCAUUUAAGCUUAUAAUGAAGCACAAUAUAAUUUAUGAUAUGUGUGUGUGAUUAAAUCGAAAUACAUGGAC